GCGCGAAAACUCUACAAUGCACGAAAGUGUGAUAGGGGAAUCCCAAGUGCCCAUGUAUUGCAUGGGCUUUUGCCACGAGUAAAUAUCUUGGCGAAUAAGUGGUGGGAAAGACUGGUGCCAGCAGCCGCGGUAACACCAGCGCCACGAGUGGGAGCCACAUUUAUUGGGCCUAAAGCGUCCGUAGCCGGAUUGAUGAAUCUCUUGUGAAAUCAUGGGGCUUAACUCCAUGGCGUGCAGGGGACACUAUCAACCUUGGAACCGGGAGGAGUCAGGGGUAUUCCGUGGGGAGCGGUAAAAUGUUAUAAUCCUCGGAGGACCACCUGUGGCGAAGGCGUCUGACUAGAACGGAUUCGACGGUGAGGGACGAAAGCUGGGGGAGCAAACCGG
rnacentral:rRNA from 1 species